CAGUGUGUUACCAAGGGCUGAGGCUGAUUGUGGCCAUGGGAUCUCCAACUGCAUUUGAGAACAACUUGGAGAGACUAUGACAGCUCAGGUCUGCACAAUAUAUAUAGCUGCCACUCGUCUUCUUAUAAUG